GAGAAAGAUGCGAGAACUGCUAACUCUCUGCUUCCGCGCCCAAUAAACGCGGCUUUCUUA
rnacentral:tRNA from 1 species